rnacentral:rRNA from 1 species
UAGGGAAUAUUGCUCAAUGGGCGAAAGCCUGAAGCAGCAACGCCGCGUGCGCGAUGAAGGUCUUCGGAUCGUAAAGCGCUUUUCUGCGAGAUGAGAAAGGACAGUAUCUCAGGAAUAAGUCUCGGCUAACUACGUGCCAGCAGCCGCGGUAACACGUAGGAGGCGAGCGUUAUCCGGAUUCACUGGGCGUAAAGCGCGUGCAGGCGGUUUGGUAAGUGGGGCGUGAAAGCUCCCGGCUCAACUGGGAGAGGUCGUUCAAUACUACCAGACUAGAGAGCAGAAGAGGAAGAUGGAAUUCCCGGUGUAGUGGUGAAAUGCGUAGAUAUCGGGAGGAACACCAGUGGCGAAGGCGAUCUUCUGGUCUGUUUCUGACGCUCAGACGCGACAGCUAGGGUAGUAAACGGGAUUAGAGACCCCGGUAAUCCUAGCCGUAAACGAUGUGAACUUGGCGUUGGUGGCUUAAACACCAUCAGUGCCGAAGCAAACGCGAUAAGUUCACCGCCUGGGGACUACGGCCGCAAGGUUA